UACGUAGGUGGCAAGCGUUGUCCGGAAUUAUUGGGCGUAAAGCGCGCGCAGGCGGUCCUUUAAGCCUGAUGUGAAAGCCCACGGCUCAACCGUGGAGGGUCAUUGGAAACUGGGGGACUUGAGUACAGAAGAGGAAAGUGGAAUUCCACGUGUAGCGGUGAAAUGCGUAGAGAUGUGGAGGAACACCAGUGGCGAAGGCGACUUUCUGGUCUGUAACUGACGCUGAGGCGCGAAAGCGUGGGGAGCAAACAGG
rnacentral:rRNA from 1 species